rnacentral:rRNA from 1 species
UGGGAUUGCGGGGUGCUAUACAUGCAGUCGAGCGAACUGAUUAGAAGCUUGCUUCUAUGACGUUAGCGGCGGACGGGUGAGUAACACGUGGGCAACCUGCCUGUAAGACUGGGAUAACUUCGGGAAACCGAAGCUAAUACCGGAUAGGAUCUUCUCCUUCAUGGGAGAUGAUUGAAAGAUGGUUUCGGCUAUCACUUACAGAUGGGCCCGCGGUGCAUUAGCUAGUUGGUGAGGUAACGGCUCACCAAGGCAACGAUGCAUAGCCGACCUGAGAGGGUGAUCGGCCACACUGGGACUGAGACACGGCCCAGACUCCUACGGGAGGCAGCAGUAGGGAAUCUUCCGCAAUGGACGAAAGUCUGACGGAGCAACGCCGCGUGAGUGAUGAAGGCUUUCGGGUCGUAAAACUCUGUUGUUAGGGAAGAACAAGUACGAGAGUAACUGCUCGUACCUUGACGGUACCUAACCAGAAAGCCACGGCUAACUACGUGCCAGCAGCCGCGGUAAUACGUAGGUGGCAAGCGUUAUCCGGAAUUAUUGGGCGUAAAGCGCGCGCAGGCGGUUUCUUAAGUCUGAUGUGAAAGCCCACGGCUCAACCGUGGAGGGUCAUUGGAAACUGGGGAACUUGAGUGCAGAAGAGAAAAGCGGAAUUCCACGUGUAGCGGUGAAAUGCGUAGAGAUGUGGAGGAACACCAGUGGCGAAGGCGGCUUUUUGGUCUGUAA